AGUGAACGCUGGCGGUAGGCCUAACACAUGCAAGUCGAGCGGAAGCACAGUAAGCUCUUGCUCUUACGGUUGGCGACUGGCGGGUGGGUGAGGCGUACAUCGCAAUCUUCUUUUUCUUGGGUGAUAACGUGGGGAAGCUUACGCUAAUAGCGCAUACGUCCAACGGGUGAAAUCAGUGGAUCUUCGGACCUUUGCCGAUUCUAUGAGCCGAGGUCGGAUUAGCUAGUUGGUGGGGUAAAGGCCUACCAAGGCAACGAUGCGUAGCUGGUCUGAGAGGAUGAUCGGCCACACUGGAACUGAGACACGGUCCAGACUCCUACGGGAGGCAGCAGUGGGGAAUAUUGGACAAUGGGCGAAAGCCUGAUGCAGCCAUGCCGCGUGAGUGAAGAAGGUCUUCGGAUUGUAAAGCCCUUUUAUUAGGGAAGAAAAGCAGUAGGUUAAUACCUCGCUGUUUUGACGGUACCCAAAGAAUAAGCACCGGCUAACUUCGUG
rnacentral:rRNA from 1 species